GACGAAGGGUGCAAGCGUUACUCGGAAUUACUGGGCGUAAAGGGCGCGUAGGUGGCCUUCUAAGUUGAACGUGAAAUCCCUGGGCUCAACCCAGGAACUGCGUCCAAGACUGGGAGGCUUGAAUCCGGGAGAGGGAUGCGGAAUUCCAGGUGUAGCGGUGAAAUGCGUAGAUAUCAGGAGGAACACCGGUGGCGAAGGCGGGUCUCUGGGCCGAUACUGACGCUGAGGAGCGAAAGCGUGGGGAGCGAACAGG
rnacentral:rRNA from 1 species